rnacentral:rRNA from 1 species
GAGUUUGAUCCUGGCUCAGGACGAACGCUGGCGGCGUGCCUAAUACAUGCAAGUCGAGCGAACCAAUUGAAAGCCUAGCUUUCAUGAGGUUAGCGGCGGACGGGUGAGUAACACGUGGGCAACCUGCCCUAUAGGCUGGGAUAACUCGCGGAAACGCGUGCUAAUACCGGAUAACACAUCAAAGUGCAUGCUUUGAUGUUGAAAGAUGGUUCUGCUAUCACUAUAGGAUGGGCCCGCGGCGCAUUAGCUUGUUGGUGGGGUAACGGCCUACCAAGGCGACGAUGCGUAGCCGACCUGAGAGGGUGAUCGGCCACACUGGGACUGAGACACGGCCCAGACUCCUACGGGAGGCAGCAGUAGGGAAUCUUCCACAAUGGGCGAAAGCCUGAUGGAGCAACGCCGCGUGAGCGAAGAAGGUCUUCGGAUCGUAAAGCUCUGUUGUAAGGGAAGAACAAGUGCAGUAGUAACUGGCUGCACCUUGACGGUACCUUACUAGAAAGCCACGGCUAACUACGUGCCAGCAGCCGCGGUAAUACGUAGGUGGCAAGCGUUGUCCGGAAUUAUUGGGCGUAAAGCGCGCGCAGGCGGUCUCUUAAGUCUGAUGUGAAAGCCCCCGGCUUAACCGGGGAGGGUCAUUGGAAACUGGGAGACUUGAGUGCAGGAGAGGGAAGCGGAAUUCCAUGUGUAGCGGUGAAAUGCGUAGAGAUAUGGAGGAACACCAGUGGCGAAGGCGGCUUCCUGGCCUGUAACUGACGCUGAGGCGCGAAAGCGUGGGGAGCAAACAGGAUUAGAUACCCUGGUAGUCCACGCCGUAAACGAUGAGUGCUAAGUGGUUAAGGGGGUUUCCACCCCUUUAGUGCUGCAGCUUACGCAUUAAGCACUCCGCCUGGGGAAGUACGGGUCGCAGACUGAA